GAUGAGCUUAUAUCUCUGAAAUUAAGGCUAAAAGAGGAUCACAAGAUUGGGAUAAUAUUUGAUGAUAUUCUUUGGUUAAUUAUGAUUUAUGAAAAGCAUAUGAAUGUGUAGUAGAUAUGGUGCAUGCGUAACUUUGGUACAGAAUAUGAACAUGUGGAUGAUAAGUUAUGAUUCAUAAUAACCCUUAUUAAGUUUGAUGGACUAGAGAAUGCUAGAAUUCACUUUUAUGCUUGUUGAAACUUUUAUCAAUACAUGUCCCUGAUUUCGGAAAGGAUUAAAGGCACUUAGGAUUUUUACCACCAUAGCCAAAUAUAAUCUGUGUCCCUAUUUGUGCCCGUCAUGGGACUCCUCUAGUUUAACCAUUUUGAGCCUACUUUGAGCCUUUUUAUUUCAUCACCCUCAAAAAUCCCUUAACCCUUAACCUUAGUAUAGUUAUAUCUUUACCCUUUGUUCUAAAGAUUUAGUAGAGCAUAUUUUUGAGACUUUGCUUGGAGUUUUGGUGUCAAGGAAAACUUUUGAAGACAUGAAGAAGUUCAAGUGUGGGGGUAGACUUGUCCAUAUGUAAUGUUUGUA
rnacentral:lncRNA from 1 species